AGGCCUCUUCCUCCAAACAGCUGGAUCUUUUGAGACAUGCUUUGACAGGUGCCUGGAUCUGGACCUCUCCAAUUUGAGGAGGCCUAGGUCUGUUGAUGAGCAUAUGUGAUUACAUGAGGCUGGAGAUGGAAGAUGAAGUGUGAAAAUGGAGCGACCUGUGGGAGUCUCACAGCCUGAGAAAAUCAAUAUUACUUUCCUUGAGAUCCUAUUUUUCUCAGCAUCUGCAAGGUAUAGAUUCCCACAUCUGCCAUGAUGGUUGUGGACUCGGCUGAUGUCCAGUCUGUAAUGAGUUGUUUCGAUGGAUCUGCACAGGAAGAUUGUGACAGUAAAGAUAACGCUGUGAUUGUGGGAGGAUCGUGGUGGAUAUGGCGACAGAGGAGCAGUCCCCAGACCCCUCACAUCUUUACCAACAGCUGCUUUCAACCGGAAAGAUGAGAGCUGAAGCCUGACUGAAGUGACAGCACGUCUGGAAAAAAAAGCACUUUUCUGUGUCCUUGAGCAGCCGGGAGAGAAAGUCUCUUGAUGUCUGAGUAGGCAAAACUCACACUCGUGCACACUACAAUAGUGUGAGAGGUGUCUAAGUGUUGCUCUGAUCGCCUUGAG